UAAGACGAAGGUGGCUAGCGUUAUUCGGAUUCACUGGGCAUAAAGCGCGCGUAGGCGGCUCUUCAAGUCGGGGGUGAAAGCCUGCAGCUCAACUGCGGAACUGCCUUCGAUACUGUCGAGCUUGAGUGCAGGAGGGGUGAUCGGAACUCCAGGUGUAGCGGUGAAAUGCGUAGAUAUCUGGAGGAACACCGGAGGCGAAGGCGGAUCACUGGACUGUCACUGACGCUGAGGCGCGAAAGCUAGGGGAGCAAACAGGAUUAGAUACCCUGGUAGUCCUAGCUGUAAACGAUGAGUACUAGGCAGCGGGGGCCCGAUGCUCUCGCUGUCGAAGCGAAUGUGCUAAGUACUCCGCCUGGGGAGUACGGCCGCAAGGCUG
rnacentral:rRNA from 1 species